UACAGGGGGGGCAAGCGUUGUUCGGAAUUACUGGGCGUAAAGGUUUGUAGGUGGCUUGCUAAGUCAGACGUGAAAUCCCCCAGCUUAACUGGGGAACUGCGUCUGAUACUGGCGAGCUUGAGUGCAGGAGAGGAACGCGGAAUUCCAGGUGUAGCGGUGAAAUGACGUAGAUAUCUGGAGGAACACCGGUGGCGAAGGCGGCAUCCUGGACCAACACUGACGCUGAGGAGCGAAAGCCAGGGGAGCAAACGGG
rnacentral:rRNA from 1 species